GGUGCAUGCGGUUGCUUGCAUUAAACGUAUAAACUGUUAAAUUAGAUGGCGACUCUGCAUUAAACGUAUUUAUUUAAUUAAUCGGCGAUCAUAUUUCACCAGAGGACUAAGAUAAAACAACUCGAUUUAAAAUGUGAGCAGUUUUAGUGGAUCUGACGUUGAGGGAAAAAGUAUUUCGCUUUUUGUUUGGAGAUGAACGAGACAACACGAGGCACAGCGACAUAAAUAUGACCAACCAGAUCCCAAGUAGACAGGAACAAAUGAAGAUAUAGCGCAUAGAAAGACAUAUUCUUGGUGAUCAACUGCUAUUGACAUUUUUGAAUCGGGGCAAAUGUGGAGUGAAGAAAAACGUUUGCAACACAUCCAUUCCAGAGUGCUCUGACAGAUAAAACUGACACGCUUGAUGAGGACACAGUCAAGCUUUAAAAGCCCGUGUGAUAAAGCAGUCUUCAAUUACUACGGUAUCUGAAUUGCAAGAAGUCACCCGCCACUUAAACAUGUGACAUCUAAACUGUUUUGUGUUUUAGUUCAGCUUUUUAUAGGUUUAUCUUAAGUUGGUUAAAGGCAGAGUGCACUAUUUUUGAAAGCCAAUGUUAACAUUUGAAAUUACCUAAACAAACAUGCCUCUACCCCAAUAGAAUCUGGACCUUCUUUUGAUAGAGCCACCACACACAUACGCAACCCCGGCAAGGAUGUCAGUUAGUAGACACACUCCUUACUGCUGGUUGGCUACAAGUUUGUUUUGGUAGUCGGCCCAAUUUCCUUUUCCAAAGCGUUUUUCAAACAUUGUGCACUCCGUCUUUAAAUUGCACUUAAACAUUUUUUUUCAUUAACUUUUUAUGCAGAGAAUUACAUUAUGAUUAUUAUAUAAUCAUUGCUUAUGAAUAUUUAGUGAUUGCAUAUUCAUAGUGUACUUUUCAUUAAUACAUUUAAUGUUAAUGUUGUACAAUUUGAUAGAAGUAGCUCUGUAAUUGCAUUUCUCUGAUAUUUGUUUUAUAU